AAUUGUAUCCCACAGGCUCUAAAAUGACGUAAUUCUUUAACACAUAGUUCUAGAUAUUUUGUUUUUUGCAUUAGGAUUUCAGGUUUAAUCCAUAAAUUGCUGAAGAUAUAUUAAUAAGUAUCUUUACUCUGUGUAUUCUUAGUGGGCCACAACUAAUUCACCUUUUAGAUAUAACAUGGCACAGCAUAUAGUAGAUAUUUCCUGAAAGCUGGUUUAAGUGAACUGAAUCUUUUUUGAAAUCACUUAGACUGACAGAAAUGAGUCUCAAAUAUACAUCUCUUGAUUUUUUUAGUCAGAUUUAUUGAGAAAUAGUUUACUUAUAAUAAAAUUCACCCUGUUUAUAAACUUGACACAUGUAUACAGUCAUGCAACCACUACCACAAUUAGGAUAAAGAUGAUUAGCUCCCCACAAAGUUCUUUGUUUCUUUUGUAGUCAGUGUCCCCCUCCCACCUCCAGGCAACCAUUGAACUCUUUUUGUCAGGAUAGUUUUGCCUUUCUAGAAUGUCAUAGGAAUAGAAGCAUAUAGUAGGUAGCCUUUGUGUCUUCCUUCUUUCACUCAAUGCAUUUGAGAUUCUUCCAUGUUGUUACAUGUAAUAGUAGUUUUAUUCCUUUUUAUUGUUGAGUAGUGUUCCACUAGUUGGCUAUGACAUAGUUUAUUAUCCAUUCGCCAGCUGAUGGAUGUUUAGUUUGUUUCCAUUUAGGUAGUUUUUAGCAAUUAUGAGUGAGGCUUCUAUAAACAUUCGUGUACAGGUUUUGUGAGGACAUAAGUUUUUAUUUCUCUUGGGCAAACACCUAAGAGUGAAGUUGCUGGCUGUUCUGAUAAUUGUGUGUUAGUGGUGGGGAUUGGUGGUGGAAGAGGAGUGGAUAGGCUCUCUGAUGUCCUACUGCAGGAUAGUGUUUCCUGGGCCUUCCAGCAGUGAUAGCACACCUGUAACACAUUAACAUAAUAUCAUGGGGCUGACUCCAUACUGUUUCCUGACUCCCCUCCAGGGCCAAAGGAGUUUUUCUUCUACAUUUUCCCAUCAGCAGUGGGUCUGUACCUGUGCCUGGUAGUGACAGAGUUUUCUCUGCCCCUCUCACAGAGGUUUAAGGUUUUGCUACUUAUGAGAGGAUGGUCUGGGCAGGGUGUCUGGGGUUCAUGCUUUCCCCACAGCAGCAGUCGCUGUCUUCCACCUGGCCCGUACCACACAAGGGACUCUCUUGGGUUGUCUGCUGUGCUAUCAUCUUUCUCAUGAGCACCUGCUGGGGUCCACGGAAAAGAGCCUGGGAGAUGUGGAAAGUCUUCCAGGACUGAUUUGAAAAUAGCUGAAAUAUAUCCUGAAGAAUUUUCAACUUUUGCAAAAUUCAGUGAUAAGCUAAAUUAUGAGGCUAUAGAAAUGAACCAGACUCAAUCUGGGAGGCAGACUGAGAAGAAAACGUUGGGAAAAUUACUUGAAAAUGUCUAAUUGUUAAAUAAGAAUUUUAAAUAAAAUGUUUGUUGAAUGAAUGAAUUAUAAUAGUAUGUGUAUUAAUAAUAUAAAAUUAACAUUUUUGUAUGGUGCUAUAAUAGCAUGUGUAUUAAUAAUAUAAAAUUAACUUUUUUAUAUG